GAGGCCUAUAAUUAUUUGUUAUGCCUGUGUUUCUGUUUCAGUUUGACAACUGGACAAGGAUAAAGUCUUGAGAAUGUCAGUGCUCUGCAGCUCCUUGCUGGCGAUGAUGUGUCUGAUGUUGACUAAUGGAACUCCUUUGAAGAAAGACGUCCUGGAGGAAGUUAUACAUAACUUCAUGAGUGAGCUUGAGGCAGAGAGGGAGCAGAAGCUGGUGCUCCGGGAGGAGUUCUCCUUCCUGCUGGCGCUCUCCGGUACAGAGUGUCUCGGCGACAUGCCUCCAAUGUACAUCGCCACGUUCUACUGCAGCUUUGGACGGAAAAAGUUAUUUCAUCCAAUAAUAGGCAAGAACCCGUCGCAUUUCUAUGAGCCUUCAAACCUGGUGGCGCUGUUUCCUGUAAAGAGGGGCCGAUGCGCUGAGGCCAGCCUGCUGAGGAAUGAUAUCCCAAACUGGUUCGCCAGCCAGCACGAGGUGAAGUUUAACCGGCUUCAUGGCGAGGGAUGCCUGAUCUUUUUCACCCGGCGCUCCCCAUGCUUGAAAAGCAGCACACUGGACCUUUUAAAUGACCCACCGUUUAGUGAUGAGUGGACAAAGGAAAAGGGUAUCCACAAGUAUUUCGUGUUUACUGCUGAGUUUCCGAACAGUGGAAGCUGUUUGGACAAGAAGGGUGAGCACCAUCAUGGAAAAGGGAGCUUUGUCCAGGAACACCUCUCUGCCUUUUUAAUUCGGAACUGUAAGAGGAUGAGCAAUACAACUUCCUACACGUGCCAAGAUGAGGACUGAGCCAAACGAGUGAUGAGUUCUAUGAGAGAAAGUGACUUGUUUUCACGAAAAGAAGUUUUUGGAUUUCACUAUUGUCUCUUCUAUAACUGCUUAUAAUAUACUGUUGGCUUCCAAUUUGAUACAAUUUGUGCCAGAGGUUCGAUUUUAGCAAAAGAAUAAGACGCGGGUGUGCAUUCAGUAUUUGUUGCAUAAAUACUGUAAGUGAAAACAUAAAAAUCUGCAAGACUGUGAGUAUGAGAUAUUGUAAAAACAAAUCUGUCCAAAAAUUGC
rnacentral:lncRNA from 1 species